rnacentral:lncRNA from 10 species
GUUUCUCUAAGAGCAUUCCCUGCCUUUCUUACAUCUGAAUCCUUGCCUCAGGCUCUGCUUCUAGGGAACUUCAUCCAAGACACAUUUCUGAACCAGUCAUUGAAGGAGUGGCUAAGUGUUUCUUAGGGACAAACCAGGGAGACAUUAAUCCUAGGAAGCAGUGUGUUUACUGGAUGGAACACAGGACUAUGGCACACUGAGAUCAAGCAUUAUUUUUGUCCCAUACUAGGGCCCAGGUACUGUCCAUUACUGAGGCUGCUUGAAGCUGAACUUCAGGCCUCCCAAGCCAUCCCCUUGUGGCUAGGUCUGAACAAAGCCUUUGAGCACUAAGUCUUCCACAGCACAUCUCCCGAUGGUGACCAUGAUCCAAUGAGUAGUUUUCCCUGUUACUCAUCUGCCUCCUGAUAGAUGUACUACAUCUGGAGAUGUGGAAUUCCUCUGCCAAGAUGUGCUUCUGCCCUUUUGGGACAUUGACUAGAUAGUCCAGAGGUGCCUGCCUCCAAGGAUCCAGUCAUUUACAGGCUGAAAGGCUGAAGAGGGGAAGCAUCAGC